AUCAAACCUGCAUCUUUCCUGCAUUGUGGGUGGAUUGUUUACCACUGAACCACCUGGGAAGUCCUUUAUGCUGGUACUCCUUACAAGUUCUUAAUAAUCUUAUGAAAGUUAACUUUUCAAAAGCCUAUGAGGAGGACUGAAAGUAGAGCCUGGCUAUAAUAGAUUUUUCAUCUUAUGCUGAAGUAUAUAACGUCAUACUUCCUGAAAGAAAACUAAGAGCAAGCAAUUGAGUCAGAAAUUAAAUGUUUAAGCUUGUCUGUUCAAGUCCUGAGUCAUCACCAGUAAGCAUACAAAGUUUUUUUCUUAGAAUUUCCAGUGCCUAAGAAGAGAGAGAGACAGAUGGGCAAAACAAGCCUACGGUAUUAUCGUUCAUCUCAAUUAAUUAUAUAAAAUUGGUAUAAUUUGGUUGAUAUUAUUUUACUGUGCUAUUUUCAAAAUAUGCUUUUAUAUCAUUAUGUUAUACAUGUUUGAAAUUCUUAUGUUACUUAAAUUCAUUCAUAUGCUUUUAUUAUGCACCACAUAUUUAUUAAAUGCCUUUUUCUAGGCCAGUGGUUCUUAAAUUUUAGCACGCAUCAAAAUAACUUGGAGGGGACUUUCCUAGUGGUCUAGUGGCCGAGAAUCUGCCUGCCAAUGUGGGGGACAUGAGUUCCAUCCCUUGUCUGGAAAGAUUCCACAUGCCCCAGUGCAACUAAGCCCACGUGAAGCCCACGUGCCACAACUACUGAGCCUGCGUACCUAGUGCCCAUGCUUUGCAAGAAGAGAAGCUGCUGCAGUGAGAAGCCUGCACACCACAGCAAAGAGCAGCGCUGCUUACUGCUGGUCGCAGUUAGAGAAAGCCCAUGGGCAGCAAGAAAGACCCGAUGCAGCCAAAAAUAAAUAGUAAAAAGAAAAACCCAGCAAUUUGGAGGGCUUGAGACCGCACACAUUGAUUACCAAGUUUCUUCCCUAGAGGUUCUGAUUUAGUAGCCCUGGGGUAGCACCCACAGAUUUGCAUUUUUAACGAGUUCCAGGUGAUCUUAAUGCCUCUGAGCAAAGAGCCACUGACUGGUCUAGGCACUGCAGGUGCGUGCUGUGUGCUUAAUGGCUCAGCAGUCAUCAGAAAAAAAAAAAAAAAAGUCCUGUCCUCAUGGAUAUUAUAUUUCUUUGGGAGAUAUAGAUACCAGCUAACUAAACAAACAAGGAAGAUACUCAUGGCCAUUGCUGUGAUCUCAAUAUUUGUGUCCCCUUCAAAUUCACAUGUUCAAAUCCUAAUACUCAAUGUGAUGGUAUCAGUAGAUUAGGUCUUGAGGGCUCUGCUCUCAUUAGUAAGAUUAUAAGAAGCCUUAGUUAGGCUCCCUUGCAGGUUCUGCCAGGAGAGGAUUAAAGGAGCGAUCUGUGACUGACCGGGACUUACCCAACCAUGCUGGCACCCCCGUCUUCAGAACUUGACAACCCUAGUUCUGCAGCCCAUCUUCUGCCCCUUAGAUGAGAAUAAAGAUCUCAUAUUAUUGAAUUGCCCUUAGUUACCUACUACCAGCACCCCAUCCAGAAAAACCUCCACUGCUCUGCUGCUGCU